UACGUAGGGUGCAAGCGUUGUCCGGAAUUAUUGGGCGUAAAGAGCUCGUAGGCGGUUUGUCACGUCGGAUGUGAAACCCUGAGGCUCAACCUCAGGCCUGCAUUCGAUACGGGCAGACUAGAAUUCGGCAGGGGAGACUGGAAUUCCUGGUGUAGCGGUGAAAUGCGCAGAUAUCAGGAGGAACACCGGUGCGAAGGCGCUCUGCUGGACCAUAACUGACACUCAGGGACGAAAGCUAGGGGAGCGAAUGGG
rnacentral:rRNA from 1 species